rnacentral:rRNA from 1 species
GACGAACGCUGACGGCGUGCUUAACACAUGCCAGUCGAACGGAAAGGCCCUGCUUUUGUGGGGUGCUCGAGUGGCGAACGGGUGAGUAACACGUGAGUAACCUGCCCUUGACUUUGGGAUAACUUCAGGAAACUGGGGCUAAUACCGGAUAGGAGCUCCUGCUGCAUGGUGGGGGUUGGAAAGUUUCGGCGGUUGGGGAUGGACUCGCGGCUUAUCAGCUUGUUGGUGGGGUAGUGGCUUACCAAGGCUUUGACGGGUAGCCGGCCUGAGAGGGUGACCGGCCACAUUGGGACUGAGAUACGGCCCAGACUCCUACGGGAGGCAGCAGUGGGGAAUAUUGCACAAUGGGCGGAAGCCUGAUGCAGCAACGCCGCGUGCGGGAUGACGGCCUUCGGGUUGUAAACCGCUUUCGCCUGUGAUGAAGCGUGAGUGACGGUAAUGGGUAAAGAAGCACCGGCUAACUACGUG